GUUUCUGGGUUGAAGGAUAAUGUCUUGGAACAGAGUAACAAGGCUUGUAGGUCUGGUAUCGUGUGUGUAUGGUGUGUUUUCAAAGUCGAGAUGAGUUGCCCUUAUAUAGGCUUGAAACAUGGCGUAUUAAAUCCUCUGGCAUGGGUGCACCUACUCCAUCAUAUGUAUGCAAGCUGUAGCUGUCUCUGGAGUGAUGAUGGGCAGAUAUACAUAUGCUGGACGUCCUCACCCAUGCCCGGUUGUCCUUCCGGUGAUCGGUUGAGCGG
rnacentral:lncRNA from 1 species